UACGGGGGGUGCGAGCGUUGUCCGGAAUCACUGGGCGUAAAGGGCGCGUAGGUGGUUUGAUAAGGGUGUGGUGAAAGUCCGGGGCUCAACCCCGGAUCUGCCGUGCCGACUGUCAAACUCGAGGGCUGUAGAGGCAGACGGAAUUCCGGGUGUAGCGGUGGAAUGCGUAGAGAUCGGAAGGAACGUCGAUGGCGAAGGCAGCCACCUGGCAUAAUACUGACGCUGAGGCGCGAAAGCGUGGGGAGCGAACAGG
rnacentral:rRNA from 1 species